UUGUCAGAAUGGCAGGGAGGCCAAGCAGUGGGCACCUUAAUAAUGGGUCCUGAUGGUGAAAUCAUACGCUUGUCUCUCUGGGAUCCCGCAGUUGACACUGAGGACCACCCAAUAAUGGGUGAUGUCACACAAGGUCACGUUCUUAAGGUUGUGACUUCUGAGGGAGAUCUGAAACAGCCUUUUACGAUCCUCAUACAGGACAACGAUACAGAUGAAGACAGAACUUCAGCAGGGGCACUGACAUAAACAGAGAAAGAAGUGAGACAGAGACAGAAAUCAAGAAAAGAGAGA
ensembl:lncRNA